CCUACGGGAGGCAGCAGUGGGGAAUAUUGGACAAUGGGGGCAACCCUGAUCCAGCCAUGCCGCGUGUGUGAAGAAGGCCCUCGGGUUGUAAAGCACUUUCAGUGAGGAAGAACGCCUGGUGGUUAAUACCCAUCAGGAAAGACAUCACUCACAGAAGAAGCACCGGCUAACUCCGUGCCAGCAGCCGCGGUAAUACGGAGGGUGCGAGCGUUAAUCGGAAUUACUGGGCGUAAAGCGCGCGUAGGUGGCUUGAUAAGCCGGUUGUGAAAGCCCCGGGCUCAACCUGGGAACGGCAUCCGGAACUGUCAAGCUAGAGUGCAGGAGAGGAAGGUAGAAUUCCCGGUGUAGCGGUGAAAUGCGUAGAGAUCGGGAGGAAUACCAGUGGCGAAGGCGGCCUUCUGGACUGACACUGACACUGAGGUGCGAAAGCGUGGGUAGCAAACAGGAUUAGAUAUCCUUGUAGUC
rnacentral:rRNA from 1 species